rnacentral:rRNA from 1 species
AUUGAACGCUGGCGGCAUGCCUUACACAUGCAAGUCGAACGGUAACAGGUCUUUCGGGAUGCUGACGAGUGGCGAACGGGUGAGUAAUACAUCGGAACGUGCCUAGUAGUGGGGGAUAACUACUCGAAAGAGUGGCUAAUACCGCAUGAGAUCUAUGGAUGAAAGCAGGGGACCUUCGGGCCUUGUGCUACUAGAGCGGCCGAUGGCAGAUUAGGUAGUUGGUGGGAUAAAAGCUUACCAAGCCUGCGAUCUGUAGCUGGUCUGAGAGGACGAUCAGCCACACUGGGACUGAGACACGGCCCAGACUCCUACGGGAGGCAGCAGUGGGGAAUUUUGGACAAUGGGGGAAACCCUGAUCCAGCAAUGCCGCGUGCAGGAUGAAGGCCUUCGGGUUGUAAACUGCUUUUGUACGGAACGAAAAAUCUUGGGUUAAUACCCUGGGAUCAUGACGGUACCGUAAGAAUAAGCACCGGCUAACUACGUGCCAGCCGCCGCUGUAAAAC